CCUACGGGUGGCUGCAGUGGGGAAUAUUGCACAAUGGGCGCAAGCCUGAUGCAGCCAUGCCGCGUGUGUGAAGAAGGCCUUCGGGUUGUAAAGCACUUUCAGCGGGGAGGAAGGCGUUAAGGUUAAUAACCUUGGCGAUUGACGUUACCCGCAGAAGAAGCACCGGCUAACUCCGUGCCAGCAGCCGCGGUAAUACGGAGGGUGCAAGCGUUAAUCGGAAUUACUGGGCGUAAAGCGCACGCAGGCGGUCUGUCAAGUCGGAUGUGAAAUCCCCGGGCUCAACCUGGGAACUGCAUUCGAACUGGCAGGCUAGAGGCUUGUAGAGGGGGGGAGAAUUCCAGGUGUAGCGGUGAAAUGCGUAGAGAUCUGGAGGAAUACCGGUGGCGAAGGCGGCCCCCUGGACAAAGACUGACGGUCAGGUGCGAAAGCGGGGGGAGGAAACAGGAUUAGAUACCCUAGUAGUC
rnacentral:rRNA from 1 species